GAUGAACGCUGGCGGCGUGCCUAAUACAUGCAAGUCGAACGCAUAGCGAAAGGUGCUUGCACCUUUCAAGUGAGUGGCGAACGGGUGAGUAACACGUGGACAACCUGCCUCAAGGCUGGGGAUAACAUUUGGAAACAGAUGCUAAUACCGAAUAAAACUUAGUGUCGCAUGACACAAAGUUAAAAGGCGCUUCGGCUUCACCUAGAGAUGGAUCCGCGGUGCAUUAGUUAGUUGGUGGGGUAAAGGCCUACCAAGACAAUGAUGCAUAGCCGAGUUGAGAGACGGAUCGGCCACAUUGGAACUGAGACACGGCCAAAACUCCUACGGGAGGCGGCAGUAGGGAAUCUUCCACAAUGGGCGAAAGCCUGAUGGAGCAACGCCGCGUGUGUGAUGAAGGCUUUCGGGUCGUAAAGCACUGUUGUAUGGGAAGAACAGCUAGAAUAGGAAAUGAUUUUAGUUUGACGGUACCAUACCAGAAAGGGACGGCUAAAUACGUG
rnacentral:rRNA from 1 species